GCAACGUGAUCGACAGUGAGUAUCAUGGAGGACUUUCCAUCUGUCCCUUUGUCAUCCUCAGUGUUGAUUCCACCCCUGGGCUGAGGGCAAGUGGUGGCAGCAGGCACAGCGUCCCCUCCAGACACAGGUGUGUCAUUGGCAUGGCUUCUAAGAUGUGGUGGAAGGACAGGACUAAGGCACAAGAGCUAUUCAGGAUCCCACAGCAUCCGGAUGUCUUCAGACUUAUGGCCAGUGAAGAACAUUAAGAGAAGGGCUGAGCUGAGUCAGAGUCAGCACGUCAGCUGGAGGAAGUCAUCCGACAUUUUAUUACGUGUAUUCACAUCUGAAGGGAACAAUGGGAGUGAGUGCAGCAACCACGAAAACGUGCCCCAUGGAAACUGGCUGGUCAGAAGACGGUAUUUACCAAGUCUCUUCCCAAAAUACUUGCAAAUGCACAUAAUCUCAAAGUGUUUUUGAGGGCUCUUCCGAUCUAAAAUUGGUCCUAGUGACAAGGGGUGUUUGGGGAAAUCAAAGGGCUGGCUUAAUUAUGCAGACCUAGGUCUGGUCUUAUUUCCAGCCCUUAACGAUUAUCAUGACCUCAAACAAAUGAAACUUCCUGGGCCUCAAGUUCCUUGUAUCAGAAAGGAUGGCAUUCAGCUGUGUACAACAGAAAACCCAAUCACAGUGCCUUAUCCAAGAAAAGUUUAAUUUUUCUCAAAACUACAGCGUCCUGGGCUGAUGCGGCAGCCCCAGGAUGGCCUCAGCAUCUCACUCCUCCUUUCUUUACUCAGCCCCAGCCUCAGGCUGUGACUUUCAUCCUCAGGUUUGUCAUCUCUUGGUGGUAAGAUGGUUGCUCUACCUCAAACUCACAAAAAGAAAUGGGGGAAAGCAGGAAAGAAGAAAAUCUGCUUCCCCAGAAACUCUGAGGCUGCACUUGCACAUCUUAUGGACCCAAAGUGUGUCCCAUGGCUGCCCCUAGAUGCAAGGGGCCUGGGGAAAUGAGCUGAUUCAUCAGGUACAUUGCAACCCUACAUAAAAGGAAAGUUCUGUCAAUAAAGAAGAGCGAAAUCUACAUUUGGUCAGGAAACAGCAUUGCCUGCAAUAUGCCUCAUAUGAAAUAAGGCCUUUCUUGCCCCCAUUCUGCUGCUCGGUCAUUCUUGCACUCAACAGGUAGAUGUUGAGUGCCCACUCUCUCUAGACCGUCUUCUAGGUGCUGGGGAUGCAAUCCUGAGUCUAUGAACAGGAUUGGCAGAACAAUAAAUAUUGAUUGCCUUGGCCGCUCACCAAAUAAAGUGCUCCUGGGAAGACUGAGCUCUAACACAAAACAGCAGCUUCACUUUCUCACUCCCUGGCAACAAUGCCAAGCAAGAGAAAGCGAUGGGUAAGGCCUGACUCAAGAGUCUCACUGCAACCUGAACUGUGGAUUCUACCUGCUAAUUUCCUCAGCCUUCUCUGGUUUUGGGCUUCAGAAUGCCCUAACUCUGGGCCCGGCGCGGUGGCUCACGCCUGUAAACCCAUCACUUUGGGAGGCUGAGGCGGGUGGAUCACAAGAUCAAGACCAUCCUGGCCAACACGGUGAAACCCCAUCUCUACUAAAAAUACAAAAAUUAGCUGGGCAUGGUGGCUUGUGCUUGUAAUCCAGCUACUUGGGAGGCUGAAUCUGGAGGAUCGCUUGAACCCAGAGGGCAGAGGUUGCGGUGGGCCGAGAUCACGCCACUGCACUCCAGCCUGGCAACAGAGUGAGACUCUGUCUCAAAAAAAAAAAAAGAAAAAAGAAAAAAAAAAAGAAUGCCGUAGCUCUACUCUGGACCAUGAGCAAGGAUAAUCUGUCUUAGAGGAGAGAAGGUGAGGUUAUGAUUCCAGAGCGUUUGGUGACCCAGGAAGUAGACCUGCCUCCUCCUAUCUGUCCACAGAGCAGUCCUAGGGGCAAUAGGCCAUGAGAAGGUCAUGCCAGGCAGUCCAUUUCUAUAUCGCCAUGUAAAUAAAAACUCAGCGGUGAACCCUGGAACCUUCGUAUUCUGCAGCUGCCAGUGUAAACUGGUACAGGCCUUUUGAAGAACAGUGGGGAAAGGCACUCCGAAAGCAUCCACGCCUCCAUACCCGCUGAUCCAGUGCUCUGAUUUUCCUUCUGGGAACCAAGCCUAGGAGAAUGAUUCAAGCUGCAGAAAACCUUUCUCCACUAAGACGUUCUCUGUGGCAUUCAAUAUAAUAGCACACCAGGGAAACAAUCUAAAGAUUCAUCAGUAGGAGAAUAUCUAAGUAAAUUAUGGUACAUACACUCAAUAAAAUGUUGUAUGACUACU
rnacentral:lncRNA from 1 species